CUCAGAUUGAACGCUAGCGGGAUGCUUUACACAUGCAAGUCGAACGGCAGCGCGGACUUCGGUCUGGCGGCGAGUGGCGAACGGGUGAGUAAUGUAUCGGAACGUACCCAGUAGCGGGGGAUAACUACGCGAAAGCGUGGCUAAUACCGCAUACGCCCUUUGGGGGAAAGCGGGGGACCUUCGGGCCUCGCACUAUUGGAGCGGCCGAUAUCGGAUUAGCUAGUUGGUGAGGUAAAGGCUCACCAAGGCGACGAUCCGUAGCUGGUUUGAGAGGACGACCAGCCACACUGGGACUGAGACACGGCCCAGACUCCUACGGGAGGCAGCAGUGGGGAAUUUUGGACAAUGGGGGCAACCCUGAUCCAGCCAUCCCGCGUGUGCGAUGAAGGCCUUCGGGUUGUAAAGCACUUUUGGCAGGGAAGAAAAGGUGCCGGUGAAUACCCGGCGCCGCUGACGGUACCUGCAGAAUAAGCACCGGCUAACUACGUGCCAGCAGCCGCGGUAAUACGUAGGGUGCAAGCGUUAAUCGGAAUUACUGGGCGUAAAGCGUGCGCAGGCGGCUCGGAAAGAAAGAUGUGAAAUCCCAGGGCUUAACCUUGGAAUGGCAUUUUUAACUCCCGAGCUAGAGUAUGUCAGAGGGGGGUAGAAUUCCACGUGUAGCAGUGAAAUGCGUAGAGAUGUGGAGGAAUACCGAUGGCGAAGGCAGCCCCCUGGGAUAAUACUGACGC
rnacentral:rRNA from 1 species